UCCCGGGUAGCUCAGCCGAUAAAGAAUCUGCCUGCAGAGCAGGAGACCUGGGUUUGAUCCCUGGGUCGGGAA
rnacentral:tRNA from 1 species